rnacentral:rRNA from 1 species
AAACCAGCACCUCAAGUGGUCAGGAUGAUUAUUGGGCCUAAAGCAUCCGUAGCCGGCUCUGUACGUUUUCGGUUAAAUCUGUACGCUCAACGUACAGGCUGCCGGGAAUACUGCAGAGCUAGGGAGUGGGAGAGGUAGACGGUACUCGGGAGGAAGUGGUAAAAUGCUUUGAUCUCUCGAUGACCACCUGUGGCGAAGGCGGUCUACCAGAACACGUCCGACGGUGAGGGAUGAAAGCUGGGGGAGCAAACCGGAUUAGAAACCCGAGUAGUCC